rnacentral:rRNA from 1 species
AGCAGCCGCGGUAAUUCCAGCUCCAAUAGCGUAUAUUAAAGUUGUUGCAGUUAAAAAGCUCGUAGUUGAAUUUCGGGACCAAUAUGUCGGUCGUGCUUCGGUACGUACUUGCAUUAUUGGUUUCUCCCUCCUGAAGAACCAUGAUGUCAUUAAUUUGGUGUCUUGGGGAAUCAGGACUGUUACUUUGAAAAAAUUAGAGUGUUUAAAGCAGGCUCACGCUUGAAUACAUUAGCAUGGAAUAAUGAAAUAGGACGUUUGAUUCUAUUUUGUUGGUUUCUAGGAUCGACGUGAUGAUUAAUAGGGAUAGUUGGGGGCAUUAGUAUUCAAUUGUCAGAGGUGAAAUUCUUGGAUUUAUUGAAGACUAACUACUGCGAAAGCAUUUGCCAAGGAUGUUUUCAUUAAUCAAGAACGAAAGUUAGGGGAUCGAAGACGAUCAGAUACCGUCGUAGU